rnacentral:rRNA from 1 species
UACGAAGGGGGCUAGCGUUGUUCGGAAUCACUGGGCGUAAAGCGCACGCAGGCGGAUUGAUAAGUCAGGGGUGAAAUCCCGGAGCUCAACUUCGGAAUUGCCUUUGAUACUGUCUGUCUUGAGUCCGGGAGAGGUGAGUGGAAUUCCUAGUGUAGAGGUGAGAUUCGUAGAUAUUAGGAAGAACACCAGUGGCGAAGGCGGCUCACUGGCCCGGUACUGACGCUCAUGUGCGAAAGCGUGGGGAGCAAACAGG